rnacentral:rRNA from 1 species
UACGUAGGGUGCAAGCGUUGUCCGGAUUUAUUGGGUUUAAAGGGUGCGUAGGCGGUCAUGUAAGUCAGUGCUGAAAUAUCCCGGCUUAACCGGGAGGGUGGCAUUGAUACUGUAUGACUUGAGUAAAGUUGAGGUUGGCGGAAUUGACGGUGUAGCGGUGAAAUGCUUAGAUAUCGUCAAGAACACCUAUUGCGAAGGCAGCUAACUAAGCUUUAACUGACGCUGAGGCACGAAAGUGUGGGGAUCAAACAGG